AAGUCGAACGGCAGCGCGGGGCAACCUGGCGGCGAGUGGCGAACGGGUGAGUAAUAUAUCGGAACGUACCCAAGAGUGGGGGAUAACGUAGCGAAAGUUACGCUAAUACCGCAUACGAUCCAAGGAUGAAAGCAGGGGACCGCAAGGCCUUGUGCUCCUGGAGCGGCCGAUAUCUGAUUAGCUAGUUGGUGAGGUAAAGGCUCACCAAGGCGACGAUCAGUAGCUGGUCUGAGAGGACGACCAGCCACACUGGAACUGAGACACGGUCCAGACUCCUACGGGAGGCAGCAGUGGGGAAUUUUGGACAAUGGGCGCAAGCCUGAUCCAGCAAUGCCGCGUGAGUGAAGAAGGCCUUCGGGUUGUAAAGCUCUUUUGUCAGGGAAGAAACGGUUGGGGCUAAUAUCCCCGGCUAAUGACGGUACCUGAAGAAUAAGCACCGGCUAACUACGUGCCAGCAGCCGCGGUAAUACGUAGGGUGCAAGCGUUAAUCGGAAUUACUGGGCGUAAAGCGUGCGCAGGCGGUUUUGUAAGUCUGUCGUGAAAGCCCCGGGCUCAACCUGGGAAUUGCGAUGGAGACUGCAAGGCUUGAAUCUGGCAGAGGGGGGUAGAAUUCCACGUGUAGCAGUGAAAUGCGUAGAGAUGUGGAGGAACACCGAUGGCGAAGGCAGCCCCCUGGGUCAAGAUUGACGCUCAUGCACGAAAGCGUGGGGAGCAAACAGGAUUAGAUACCCUGGUAGUCCACGCCCUAAACGAUGUCUACUAGUUGUCGGGUCUUCAUUGACUUGGUAACGCAGCUAACGCGUGAAGUAGACCGCCUGGGGAGUACGGUCGCAAGAUU
rnacentral:rRNA from 1 species